CUUGGAGCUAGGGGAGGUGGCUGCUUUCAAGUUGACAGUGAGGAGCACUUUGCUCUCUGCAGAAACUCUUAUAGAGAAGCCUGGUCUGGAGGAAGUCUGUCCAGGAUGAGACAGAAGGAAUCUUUGGGCAAUGGAGGAAUCCCCAAGAAAAGCAGUGGAAUUUGCUGCAUCAGUCCCUGGCCAAAAGGAGACGAGCGGAAACAUUCUGCUGGCAGGAAUAUGCUCAAGGAUGUAAUUAGCAACAGUGAUAAAAGAACAGACAUGGAAACAUGAAAUUAAAUGGAGCUAAGUAUGCAAACCUGCUCUUGCAAUGGGUCACUCAGUGAUUUUUAAAACAAAUUAAACCUGAGAGGUGAACCUGUCCUCCAUUGGAACUUGUGGGAUUUUGCCCGCUGCAAUGAAAACAAUUGAAAAGGGCAUUGUAAGGAACAUUGAAAAGGAACACUUGGCUGUAAAAAUAAUUUGCUUGCUGGUUUCUCAGCUUUGUACUUCUCAUUGGUGAUUAAAAUUGCCCUACAAACACUCCUAUCCUGUCUUUCAUUAAGUGUUCCACUGGCUUGCUGAGCAUUGCAGAAGAGAUGCAGCAUUGCUGUAUCAGGUCUGUCUGUCUGUCAGUAACAUACCCAUGCAGCUGCUCCUUGUGCCUUGUCUGAUCCCCGAGUCCAUCCAUCCUAGCAAUGUGUGUUAAGCAUGAAUUUUCUUUUUCAGUCCUGUGCCAAGUUUUUACUCUUUGAAGAUAUCAUUAAAAACACCUCAAAGUUCCUCUGCCUCACACAACGUUGUUUUCAGGAAUUGCUUGAAGGCAUGUUGCAGAGCUUGAAAAUAGCAACUGAAUGGUUGGAGAAAUCCUCUACCUUGUAAAAUGGACCCACCAACAUAUUUUGGUGUUUGUGUUAUUGGGAUUGAACAGCACACUGCUAAAUUUGUUACUUAUGGAAGAAAUAGCAUAAGGAUGGAAAGAUAACCACACUUGGAGUCUUCUGACAUCAAAUCCUUAAACACUCAUAAUGCCCUAGAAAGAUACUUGCUUACCUUCAACUAAUGGAGAACAAAAAAAGCUUUAGCCUAGUGAGCCUGGGAGCUGUGGAAGUGAUGAUAUGCUCUGGGAGCAAUGUGCUGAUAUUGUCCUGGUUUGAACACCAAAACCACCUGCACAAACCACCCAAUUCCUUACCCUGCUGAAGUGACAGGAGGAAAUCUCCUGGGCUGUGCCCCCCAGAAAGGCAGCUUGAACAGGGCUGGAUUGUUCCUGAUCAUCUGGGCACUAAAGAUGGUCCAGGUUGUGGAUUACACAAGAACUCCAAUGCAUAUUACUGAACUCCACUACUGUGCAGUCAGGUAAGUGCUAUUUAAACACAAUUUUUUGUUUGGUUGGGGUUUUUAGUAAGAGAAAUUGCCUGUACUGAGAAACAAGCUUAUAUGAAUGCUGUUUUCUAAUGCCUCCAUCUUUUUGAACACAAUCGGAAUUUCCCCCUUUCCUAGAUGUUCUGCUUUUAU